rnacentral:rRNA from 1 species
CAUGACGAACGCUGGCGGCGUGCUAUGCUAUGCAGUCGNCGCGAACGGUCCUUCGGGAGCUAGUAGAGUGGCAACGGGUGAGUAACGCGUGGGUACGUACCCUGAUCCUGGGAAUAACCCUCGGAAACGAGGGCUAAUACCGAAUGUGGCGAACGACCGGUUGGUCGCUCGCUAAAGGUGGCCUCUUCUAUGCUGCCGGGUUGGGAUCGGCCCGCGUUCCAUUAGCUAGUAGGUGAAGGUACGGUUCACCAAAGGCCAGAAUUGGGUAGCCGGCCUGAGAGGGUGUACGGCCACACUGGCACUGAGACAAGGGCCAGUCCCCUAUGGGAGGCGCAGGCGGGAAUAGUUCACAAUGGGCGAAAGCCUGAUGACGCGACGCCGCGUGAGCGAAGAAGACCUUCGGGUUGUAAAGCUCUGUCAGGAGGGAAGAAGGCUCUACGGGUUAAUAGCCCGUGGAAUUGACGGUACCUCCAGAGGAAGCCCCGGCUAAAUACGUGCCAGCAGCCGCGGUAAUACGUAUGGGGCAAGCGUAGUCCGGAUUUACUGGGCGUAAAGGGCGCGUAGGCGGUUUGUUAAGUCGAAGGUGAAAUCCUCGGGCUCAACUCGAGAAUUGCCUUCGAUACUGGCAAACUAGAGUGGCGGAGAGGAAAGCGGAACUCUUGGUGUAACGGUGGAAU